AUCUGAAAAAGAUGGAGUAAGAAAACUAACAACAGUAAAGUAAAACACCAGGAGAAGAGCCCUUCAAAGGUCAUAGGAUUGACCAAACAGGGUUUAGAGAAUAAAUGAUCAGUAUUAUGUAGAGAAGGGGGAUUUAAUUCCAGUCUUGGAGGGCCGGUGUCCAGCACGUUGGAGUUUUAACUCAAUCAGCAGGUGAUUGACAGGCUUCUGCAGAGCCUGGUGAGCUGAUGCACAGCUGAUUCAACCACUGAAUCUAGUGUGUUGGAGCAGAAAAACCACUAAAACGUGCUGGAUAUCGGCCCUCUAGGACCAGAAUUUAACAUCUCUGCUGUAGAGCCUCACUGUCGGCUUCAGGUUUUACUCCAAUUCCAAAACAAAAACAGUGAAUUAGUGUGAAAGGAACUCGCUUUUUUCAGAUUUAAAAUGAACUCCGUAGAAAAGGGAAGAAAACGUGUUUGACUGAUUAUUUCUUAGUUGUGACGAUGCUUUAUGGUUAUAAAUUAGCCUGAUUAGUCACUUGAGUUCAUUUUAAACUGUUUUGCAUCAGAAGCUGUGGUUUUCGGUGAGUUUUAAACACGAUAAAGUGUUUCUAUGAAAUAAACAAACUGACUUGAUCAUAAAGUGCUUGACAAACAAAAAUUCUCGUGGUUGUGUAAAUGAUUGUAGGCAUAAAACAAGCUCGCUGUUUCAUUCUGCAUAGGUUUUCAUUGAGGCCAAAACUUAAAGCUGUGUCCAUCAUAUCAGAGGGAACUGGGCCAGUUUGGAUCCCUGAUUGGAGCCAAAGCUUCCAUCAGUCCGUCUUCUGAAAACUGUUUAUUAGAAGAAUCUGAUAUGAUGUGAACGCAUCACAACACCAUGCUAAAAGAACGGGACAGUGACGGCCUGUGCUCCUCAGCCUCACAUGUCAGUAAACUUCAGCUGGUUUGGUCUCUAAAGUUUGUGAGCUCUACAUAAUGUGUGUAAAACGUUCUCUGUGUCCUGACUGAAAACAUCACUGGUCAUUCACUUUCAGUGAUGAGGUCUUUCAGUCAGCAUCUAGAACUCAUGGUUGCUUUCAAAUGGGGGGAACGGUCUGCAGCAUUAGGUGAACAACAUGAUGUACCACAGUUAUUUAUUCAACAAAAACUAAACAUUUGAGUCAGUCCAAUGGCCCAAUAGACCCUCCUUCAGCAGCGGGAAUUAGUUCAAAGAUUUUGUUUAGUUCGGUUUAUGUAUAAAGCUCCAGUUCACAACAAAAGUCUUCACAAAAAGUCCAAUUCAUAUCAAGUAUUUUGUACAUUUAUAAAAUCCCAGCAACACACCCAACAGCAUAAUCAAGACUGUAUAAGAGUUAUAACUCUGUUGUCAUGAGCCAGGGUGAGUACUCGUCUCAUCAUCUCACUAUCUCUGAGUGUUUUGGUUUCAGGAGAGGGAGCAACAGCUGUUUCCAAUCAGCUGAUCAGCGGGCCGGUUUAUAAGGAGGAAGGUGGACAUGACUCGACGCCGGAGAAACAGUGGAACAUGUUUUAUGUGACUGCAUAAAAUGUGAGGAAAGUAGAGGACCACUCAGGGAGAAAUUGAAAAACAUAGGAGGUGGAGUGAAGAAUGUAAAGAAUUUGUUAAAUGGUGAAGAAAGGAAAUAUGAGUUGGUUGUUGGGUAUCUAAAGCACAGUGGUUUGUUUAAUAGAAUUUAGUUUUUUUGUUUGUUUGUUUGUUUUAAUGCUCUUACUCCGACUCACACUCCAGCACAGUAGGUGGCGGAAAUGCACCUAGCAGUUAGAUGCCACCCGCCAAUAAACUCGAAGAAGAAGAAGACUCGACGCCGGAUGAUUAACUACUGACUGGUCUGGAUAAUCAUCAGAGUUUUCCCCGACGCCGUUUUGGAUUUUUAUUUGGUUCGUUUCCUGGUUCACCCUCCUCCAAGUGCCGACCCAAUCUCCUCCACCUCUCGCUCCCUCUCCAGAACCACACCGGUCUGGAUCCCAUUCCUCAUUCACCUCUACCGCUCUACAAUCAUUACCUGGACUUACCCCGGCUCACCCCUCCCACACGCUUCUCGUCUAUCUAAGCCACGCUGCUUCCCGUUUCUGCACCCGCUGGAUUUUCCAGUGUGCCCUUAGUUCACCUUUUUGUCAAUAAAUAUUUAUUAUUUUUUUUAUACAAUCUGAUUCUGCAUGUCCUGGGUUAGACUCUUGCCCCGCAAGAUGGCAUCUGUGUGUCUGCAUACAACUAAUCACUUAUAAUGUGGGAAGGGGGAGUAAAUCCUAUACAAUAUAAGACUAGCAGUAACAAAUGCAAUAAUACGCAGAUAUAAAAGGACAAUCCUAGUAACAUGUUUUAUAUAACCUGGUCCAGAAUCACUCCAGUGGUCCCCGAGGUUGUUACCAACCAAAGGAUGUGAAAGAACAAGCAGUUUGUUCCGAAAGGGUUCAGGUCAAAGACAAUAACCUCUUGUCUAAUAUGAAUUUAAAGGAAGACUGACCUCAUGAGUUGUGAUCUGCUGUUCUUAAAGUUUGUGUUUUUGUUAUCGCUGUGUUCACCUAGGAGUUUGCUGGAAAGCCCUCCACAAACAACGUGAUGAUAUGUUCUACAGAACUGUUCAGAGACUGAGAUGUGUGGGUGAGGUAGCACAUUAGCAUUUAAACAUGGAGUUAAGUCAGUGCAGCUGGGCGCCAGUUCUCCUGUUACUCUCCUGGAGACCUAAACAGGCGGACGUCGUCAAGUGCAAGCUGUAGCCAGCUACCACUGUUAGCCAGGAUGGACUUCCUACC